CAGAGACCUUACAUUCUGUCUAGAUCAGCAGCCAAACCUUCUUCUACGCUGUUAUUUUAAGCUCAUCAGAGCUUCAUCUGAUACGGUUUUGUGGAAGAGGAAAUCAAGUCAGCUCAUUUCUAAUGACUUUGCCUAGUCCCUUCCACCUGUGAGUGCCUGUAUCUGGAAGCAGUGUGUCAGUGACCAAGAACGGUUCUCCUUUGCACAGCAAAGACUGAUUUCUUUACAUUUGCCAUCAGCCUCGGAAAUAAAGAAAUUCCAGUUACUUACUACUGCUGUUGCUGCUGGCRAGAAAACUACUUUUACAAGCCAUACAACUCUUUUCCAGAGAAGUCAAUGAGAAAAAGCACUCAGCAAGGUCUGAAAAAUCCUGGACAUUCACACAAGGAAUGAGAACUUCAGAGUUACACCUGCUAAAGCUAACACAUUUUUAAAGGAAUUGAGAUUGGGUUUUGAUGCUUAAGUGACUGUCGAAGAUCAGAAUUCAAGAUGAAAGCCAGCAUGACAGAUGAUUAUUCAACACCUGCUUAUGGUGAAAUUCUUACACCUUUCUC